AUGAUCGUCACCGACGACGAUGACGAGCUGUUCGAGCUCGCCAUCACCUUCCUCCGCGGCGACAACGAGGACGGACAAGACCGACACGACACGCAGAGCGCUGGUGAUGGCGCCCAUGCCCUGAUGACCAACUGCCUGCUGCCAGUGAGCUCGGUCAGCAUGGCGGUGCCGGUCACGGACAGCAACAUCGUCUCAUCCUACUAUGCCUUCUCGACGUACAGCAGCUCGAGGAAGUCCGGCAUCAGCGGCGGUGGCAGGAGGAGGCUUGGGCGCGCAGCUGCUGACGGUCGCAAUUCCACUUGGGCGAGGUUUCGCCUCUCGAGCAGGGGAUUCGCAUCCGUGGGGAAUUUUCAGAGAUAG
rnacentral:rRNA from 1 species